rnacentral:rRNA from 1 species
UACGGAGGGUGCAAGCGUUAUCCGGAUUUAUUGGGUUUAAAGGGUCCGUAGGUGGGACUGUAAGUCAGUGGUGAAAUCUUUCAGCUCAACUGGAAAAUUGCCGUUGAUACUGCAGUCCUUGAGUAUACUUGAAGUAGGCGGAAUAUGUCAUGUAGCGGUGAAAUGCAUAGAUAUGACAUGGAACACCGAUAGCGAAGGCAGCUUACUAAAUUAUAACUGACACUGAGGGACGAAAGCGUGGGGAGCGAACAGG